UAUGUAUCUCGAUCAAAAGGUGGUUAUUUAGUUGAUGAUAUAUUAGAAAUCUCUUUUUAAUUAUCAUUCUACUUUGACCAAAGAUUUUUUGAAUCAUCGUCAUGUGAGAUCACAUAGGAUGUUCGCUCCCCUUAUUAGGAGUGAUCGAUUUUUUAUUGACCACUCACAACCUUCAUAUACACUUCACCAUAUCCAGAAUACCCCAC
rnacentral:lncRNA from 1 species